AGAGUUUGAUCAUGGCUCAGAUUGAACGCUGGCGGCAGGCCUAACACAUGCAAGUCGAACGGUAACAGGAAGCAGCUUGCUGCUUCGCUGACGAGUGGCGGACGGGUGAGUAAUGUCUGGGAAACUGCCUGAUGGAGGGGGAUAACUACUGGAAACGGUGGCUAAUACCGCAUAACGUCGCAAGACCAAAGAGGGGGACCUUCGGGCCUCUUGCCAUCAGAUGUGCCCAGAUGGGAUUAGCUUGUUGGUGAGGUAACGGCUCACCAAGGCGACGAUCCCUAGCUGGUCUGAGAGGAUGACCAGCCACACUGGAACUGAGACACGGUCCAGACUCCUACGGGAGGCAGCAGUGGGGAAUAUUGCACAAUGGGCGCAAGCCUGAUGCAGCCAUGCCGCGUGUAUGAAGAAGGCCUUCGGGUUGUAAAGUACUUUCAGCGGGGAGGAAGGUGUUGCGGUUAAUAACCGCAGCAAUUGACGUUACCCGCAGAAGAAGCACCGGCUAACUCCGUGCCAGCAGCCGCGGUAAUACGGAGGGUGCAAGCGUUAAUCGGAAUUACUGGGCGUAAAGCGCACGCAGGCGGUCUGUCAAGUCGGAUGUGAAAUCCCCGGGCUCAACCUGGGAACUGCAUUCGAAACUGGCAGGCUUGAGUCUUGUAGAGGGGGGUAGAAUUCCAGGUGUAGCGGUGAAAUGCGUAGAGAUCUGGAGGAAUACCGGUGGCGAAGGCGGCCCCCUGGACAAAGACUGACGCUCAGGUGCGAAAGCGUGGGGAGCAAACAGGAUUAGAUACCCUGGUAGUCCACGCCGUAAACGAUGUCUACUUGGAGGUUGUGCCCUUGAGGCGUGGCUUCCGGAGCUAACGCGUUAAGUAGACCGCCUGGGGAGUACGGCCGCAAGGUUAAAACUCAAAUGAAUUGACGGGGGCCCGCACAAGCGGUGGAGCAUGUGGUUUAAUUCGAUGCAACGCGAAGAACCUUACCUGGUCUUGACAUCCACAGAAGAAUCCAGAGAUGGAUUUGUGCCUUCGGGAACUGUGAGACAGGUGCUGCAUGGCUGUCGUCAGCUCGUGUUGUGAAAUGUUGGGUUAAGUCCCGCAACGAGCGCAACCCUUAUCCUUUGUUGCCAGCGGUUAGGCCGGGAACUCAAAGGAGACUGCCAGUGAUAAACUGGAGGAAGGUGGGGAUGACGUCAAGUCAUCAUGGCCCUUACGACCAGGGCUACACACGUGCUACAAUGGCGCAUACAAAGAGAAGCGACCUCGCGAGAGCAAGCGGACCUCAUAAAGUGCGUCGUAGUCCGGAUUGGAGUCUGCAACUCGACUCCAUGAAGUCGGAAUCGCUAGUAAUCGUGGAUCAGAAUGCCACGGUGAAUACGUUCCCGGGCCUUGUACACACCGCCCGUCACACCAUGGGAGUGGGUUGCAAAAGAAGUAGGUAGCUUAACCUUCGGGAGGGCGCUUACCACUUUGUGAUUCAUGACUGGGGUGAAGUCGUAACAAGGUAACCGUAGGGGAACCUGCGGUUG
rnacentral:rRNA from 1 species